rnacentral:misc_RNA from 1 species
UGGCUCUCGCAUCGAUGAAGAACGCAGCGAAAUGCGAUAAGUAAUGUGAAUUGCAGAAUUCAGUGAAUCAUCGAAUCUUUGAACGCACCUUGCGCCCUCUGGUAUUCCGGAGGGCAUGCCUGUUUGAGUGUCUUGAUAUCAUCAAACCCCCCGGGUUCACGCCCGUCGCGGUUUGGAGUUGGGGGCUUGCUGCCGUGAGGCGGCUCCCCUUAAAAUCAUCGGUUUGGCUCGCAUCAUGCGGCUUGCACCUUUGGCGUUGUAUUUUCCUCGCCUUCGAUCGGUCUUGCUCGUUACCGCGCCUCACUCUGACUUGCCCUUUGGGUGGCGGUCACUUCUUGACAAUCUGGCCUCAAAUCAGGUAGGACUACCCGCUGA